GACGAACGCUGGCGGCGUGCCUAAUACAUGCAAGUAGGACGCAGUUGCGAACGGGUGAGUAACGCGUAGGUAACUACCUAUUAGAGGGGGAUAACUAUUGGAAACGAUAGCGAAUACCGCAUACUAGUAGAUGGACCUGCGUUGUAUUAGCUAGUAGGUAGGGUAAGGGCCUACCUAGGGAAAGAUACAGAGCCGACCUUAGAGGGUGAUCCGCCACACUGGGACUGGAGCCAGGCCCAGACUCCUACGGGAGGCAGCAGUAGGGAAUCUUCGGAAAUGGGGGGAACCCUGACCGAGCCACGCCGCGUGAGUGAAGAAGGUUUUCGGAUCGGAAAGCUCUGUUGUUAAGGAAGCGGUACUUAACCAGAAAGGGACGGCUAACUACGUGCCAGCAGCCGCGGUAAUUC
rnacentral:rRNA from 1 species